UACAGAGGUCUCAAGCGUUGUUCGGAUUCAUUGGGCGUAAAGGGUGCGUAGGUGGCGCUGUAAGUCAGGUGUGAAAUCUCGGGGCUUAACUCCGAAACUGCAUUUGAUACUGCGGUGCUUGAGGACUGGAGAGGAGACUGGAAUUCAUGGUGUAGCAGUGAAAUGCGUAGAGAUCAUGAGGAAGACCAGUGGCGAAGGCGGGUCUCUGGACAGUUCCUGACACUGAGGCACGAAGGCCAGGGGAGCAAACGGG
rnacentral:rRNA from 1 species